rnacentral:rRNA from 1 species
GUGAUUGGAGCGGCCGAUGUCGGAUUAGCUAGUUGGUGGGGUAAAGGCCUACCAAGGCGACGAUCCGUAGCGGGUCUGAGAGGAUGAUCCGCCACACUGGGACUGAGACACGGCCCAGACUCCUACGGGAGGCAGCAGUGGGGAAUUUUGGACAAUGGGGGCAACCCUGAUCCAGCCAUGCCGCGUGAGUGAAGAAGGCCUUCGGGUUGUAAAGCUCUUUCAGACGGAAAGAAAUCGGGCGGGUCAAUACC